rnacentral:rRNA from 1 species
AUUGAACGCUGGCGGCAGGCCUAACACAUGCAAGUCGAACGAGUGGCGGACGGGUGAGUAAUAUGUGGGAAACUGCCCGAGGGGGGGGGGGAACUACUGGGAACGGUAGCUAAUACCGCAUACCAUCGGAUGUGCCCAGAUGGGAUUAGCUAGUAGGGGGGGUAACGGCUCACCUAGGCGACGAUACGUAGCUGGUCUGAGAGGGUGACCAGCCACACUGGAACUGAGACACGGUCCAGACUCCUACGGGAGGCAGCAGGGGGGAAUAUUGCACAAUGGGCGCAAGCCUGAUGCAGCCAUGCCGCGUGUGUGAAGAAGGCCUUCGGGUUGUAAAGCACGUUCAGCGAGGAGGCGUUACUCGCAGAAGAAGCACCGGCUAACUCCGUGCCAGCAGCCGCGGUAAUUC